CAGGAAUUAUCUGAUCCUUUUCGGAGGUGACGAUAAUGGAAUGAGCGGCGGACGGGUGAGUAACACGUAGGCACCUGCCUGUAAGACUGGGAUAACUCGUGGAAACGCGAGCUAAUACCGGAUAACACUUUUUAUCUCCUGAUGAGAAGUUGAAAGGCGGCUUUUGCUGUCACUUACAGAUGGGCCUGCGGCGCAUUAGCUAGUUGGUAAGGUAACGGCUUACCAAGGCGACGAUGCGUAGCCGACCUGAGAGGGUGAUCGGCCACACUGGGACUGAGACACGGCCCAGACUCCUACGGGAGGCAGCAGUAGGGAAUCUUCCGCAAUGGACGAAAGUCUGACGGAGCAACGCCGCGUGAGUGAUGAAGGUUUUCGGAUCGUAAAACUCUGUUGUUAGGGAAGAACAAGUGCCAUAGUAACUGAUGGCACCUUGACGGUACCUAACCAGAAAGCCACGGCUAACUACGUGCCAGCAGCCGCGGUAAUACGUAGGUGGCAAGCGUUGUCCGGAAUUAUUGGGCGUAAAGCGCUCGCAGGCGGUUCUUUAAGUCUGAUGUGAAAUCUUACGGCUCAACCGUAAACGUGCAUUGGAAACUGGAGGACUUGAGUGCAGAAGAGGAGAGUGGAAUUCCACGUGUAGCGGUGAAAUGCGUAGAGAUGUGGAGGAACACCAGUGGCGAAGGCGACUCUCUGGUCUGUAACUGACGCUGAGGAGCGAAAGCGUGGGGAGCGAACAGGAUUAGAUACCCUGGUAGUCCACGCCGUAAACGAUGAGUGCUAGGUGUUAGGGGGUUUCCGCCCCUUAGUGCUGAAGUUAACGCAUUAAGCACUCCGCCUGGGGAGUACGGCCGCAAGGCUGAAACUCAAAAGAAUUGACGGGGGCCCGCACAAGCGGUGGAGCAUGUGGUUUAAUUCGAAGCAACGCGAAGAACCUUACCAGGUCUUGACAUCCUCUGAACACUCUAGAGAUAGAGUUUUCCCUUCGGGGACAGAGUGACAGGUGGUGCAUGUGUCGUCAGCUCGGUCGGAGAGU
rnacentral:rRNA from 1 species